CCUAGCCCUUCAGAGGGGGACAACAGUUGGAAACGACUGCUAAUACCGCAUACGAUCUAACCUCGGCAUCGAGGAUAGAUGAAAGGUGGCCUCUAUUUAUAAGCUAUCACUGAAGGAGGGGAUUGCGUCUGAUUAGCUAGUUGGAGGGGUAACGGCCCACCAAGGCGAUGAUCAGUAGCCGGUCUGAGAGGAUGAACGGCCACAUUGGGACUGAGACACGGCCCAG
rnacentral:rRNA from 1 species